rnacentral:rRNA from 1 species
GACGAACCGUGCGAACGUUGUUCGGAAUCACUGGGCUUAAAGGGCGCGUAGGCGGACCACCAAGUCCGGGGUGAAAUCUUUCGGCUUAACCGGAAAACAGCCUUGGAUACUGGUGGUCUCGAGUGAGGUAGGGGCCGUUGGAACUUCCGGUGGAGCGGUGAAAUGCGUUGAUAUCGGAAGGAACGCCGGUGGCGAAAGCGAACGGCUGGACCUCUUCUGACGCUGAGGCGCGAAAGCCAGGGGAGCGAACGGG